UACGUAGGUGUCGAGCGUUAUCCGGAAUCACUGGGCGUAAAGGGCGCGCAGGCGGUUUCGUUAGUCAGGCGUGAAAUCCCCGGGCUUAACCCGGGAACUGCGUUUGAUACUGCGGAACUAGAGUUCGGGAGAGGGUAGUGGAAUUCCCAGUGUAGAGGUGAAAUUCGUAGAUAUUGGGAAGAACACCAGUGGCGAAGGCGGCUACCUGGACCGAUACUGACGCUGAGGCGCGAAAGCGUGGGGAGCAAACAGG
rnacentral:misc_RNA from 1 species